GCAAACUUGGUCAUUUAGAGGAAGUAAAAGUCGUAACAAGGUAACCGUAGGUGAACCUGCGGUUGGAUCAUUAAUAAAGAAAAACUUUUGGCAUUUUUUUGCCAAUUGUUAGAUACAUUUUGUGCACUUUGUAAUUGUUCCUUGGCAGUUUAGCGAAACUGUAAUAAGCCGCUUAUUAAAAAAAGGGCUGCCAAGUUAAAAAAAAAUUUAACAAAUAAUUUUUUUUUUUAAUUAUAACUUUAAAAACAAAUUAAAAUAAAAUACAACUUUUGACAACGGAUCUCUUGGCUCUCGCAUCGAUGAAGAACGCAGC
rnacentral:misc_RNA from 1 species